rnacentral:tRNA from 1 species
CCUGAUGGCUCAGUUGGUAAAGAAUCUGCCUGAAAUGCAGGAGACCCAGGUUCUAUCCAUGGAUCAGGA